UACGUAGGGGGCUAGCGUUGUCCGGAAUCAUUGGGCGUCAAGCGCGUGUAGGCGGUCCGGUAAGUCCGCUGUGAAAGUCGGGGGCUCAACCCUCGGAUGCCGGUGGAUACUGUCGGGCUUGAGUACGGAAGAGGCGAGUGGAAUUCCUGGUGUAGCGGUGAAAUGCGCAGAUAUCAGGAGGAACACCAAUUGCGAAGGCAGCUCGCUGGGACGUUACUGACGCUGAGACGCGAAAGCGUGGGGAGCAAACAGG
rnacentral:rRNA from 1 species